UAGGCGGGCCACUCAACGCGCGUCAACCACGACUUCACUCAAUGCGUCGUUGCGGUUUGUGUCCGAGCCAAGGAAUGGACACCUGUGGCAAGAGAGAAGGAAAAUGACCAUUUGUGAGGAGUAAGAGUCGAGCAUUGGCACGUGAAUUGCAGAGAGAAGUCCACAAUUGACUUUUGUGAGUGGAAGCAGCUUCGAAAUUGUUCCUUUUGUUGGAGCCGACGUGUUCAAUGAAAGAAGAAUAGGCCAGCCAACGUGGUCAAGGAUUUGGGGGCAUUGCCCCUGUGUCCCGUGGGGAAGGAGGGUGCAUGGUACGUCCACCCGAAACUCUGGUUCCAAUCAGUGGGGCGUAUGCGGUGGGGACCCCCGCCUAUUGCUGACCACCGACCAAACCCUGCUAUCCAGAGAGGAGCUAAAGUCUUCAUCGAUGGAUGGAGCUGACCAGUGAUGUCUCAAACGGGUAAGAAUACAAUCCUGUCAUAGGCAUAUAUUCAGUAACAAAUUACAGUGGGUGUUUUGGCUGGGGGGACACAAAUGAAAGUUAUUGGAAGUUGGAUUUGAUGUGCUGAGAGACAAGGCAGCUCAAGUAACACAUUUGCGGCGAAUUGAGUGAUUUUAAGCAAAUACAACUGCUGUUAUUCCCUAGAGUCCGACAAUAGAAGUCUUAAAAUUGAGACCAAAAAAAAGUCAACGGGUAUCCAACAAAUAAGUGUCCCCAUGGAUUUUACGUGGACUGGGUUUGAGAAAAGCACUUUAGAAAACUGAUGGGUUUAUCUGAACAACAAAAAUGAUUGGAAGCAACAAAAUCAGCUACUGUAGUUGGUAAGGAAAACUGAAAAAUUGAUUCCAUAAAAUAUGGAUACAAACAUGAAGGACAAGGUGAAAUAUGCACCU